rnacentral:rRNA from 1 species
AGGGUUUGAUCAUGGCUCAGAACGUACGCUGGCGGCACGCCUAACACAUGCAAGUCGAACGAAGUAGCAAUACUUAGUGGCAGACGGGUGAGUAACAUGUAGGUAUCUGCCCUUUGGCCUGGAAUAACACGAGGAAACUUGUGCUAAUACCGGAUAAGUCUUUACGGAGAAAGCUUUAUGCACCAUUGGAUGAGCCUGCACUUGAUUAGUUUGUUGGUGGGGUAAUGGCCUACCAAGACUGUGAUCAAUAGCUGAUUUGAGAGGAUGAUCAGCCACAUUGGGACUGAGACACGGCCCAAACUCCUACGGGAGGCAGCAGUGGGGAAUCUUGCACAAUGGAGGAAACUCUGAUGCAGCGAUGCCGCGUGAGUGAAGAAGGCCCUUGGGUUGUAAAGCUCUUUCGUCGGGGAAGAAAAUGACUGUACCCGAAUAAGAAGGUCCGGCUAACUUCGUGCCAGCAGCCGCGGUAAUACGAAGGGACCUAGCGUAGUUCGGAAUUACUGGGCUUAAAGAGUUCGUAGGUGGUUGAAAAAGUUGGUGGUGAAAUCCCAGAGCUUAACUCUGGAACUGCCAUCAAAACUUUUCAGCUAGAGUAUGAUAGAGGAAAGCAGAAUUUCUAGUGUAGAGGUGAAAUUCGUAGAUAUUAGAAAGAAUACCAAUUGCGAAGGCAGCUUUCUGGAUCAUUACUGACACUGAGGAACGAAAGCAUGGGUAGCGAAGAGGAUUAGAUACCCUCGUAGUCCAUGCCGUAAACGAUGUGUGUUAGACGUUGGAAAUUUAUUUUCAGUGUCGCAGCGAAAGCGAUAAACACACCGCCUGGGGAGUACGACCGCAAGGUUAAAACUCAAAUGAAUUGACGGGGACCCGCACAAGUAGUGGAGCAUGUGGUUUAAUUCGAAGAUACGCGCAGAACCUUACCAACACUUGACAUGUUCGUCGCGACUUUAAGAGAUUAAAGUUUUCGGUUCGGCCGGACGAAACACAGGUGCUGCAUGGCUGUCGUCAGCUCGUGUCGUGAGAUGUUGGGUUAAGUCCCGCAACGAGCGCAACCCUCACUUUUAGUUGCCAUCAUUAAGUUGGGCACUCUGAAAGAACUGCCAGUGAUAAGCUGGAGGAAGGUGGGGAUGACGUCAAGUCCUCAUGGCCCUUACGUGUUGGGCUACACACGUGCUACAAUGGUAUCUACAACAGGAAGCAAGACGGCGACGUCAAGCAAAUCCUUAAAAGAUACCUCAGUUCGGAUUGCACUCUGCAACUCGAGUGCAUGAAGCUGGAAUUACUAGUAAUCGUGGAUCAGCGUGCCACGGUGAAUGCGUUCCCGGGUCUUGUACACACCGCCCGUCACACCAUGGGAGUUGGUUCUACCUUAAGGCAAGGUUUAAAACCCUUGACCACGGUAUAGUCAGCGACUGGGGUGAAGUCGUAACAAGGUAACCA